CGGAGCCACCCCGGGAGCGCCCGAAGCGGAGAUGCUGCGAUUCCUCCGUGUGAGGGUCCUGCAGUCCCCAGGAGCGUUGGGUCCCGCUCUCCCUUGGACCAGGAGUCUCACAAUUCCCGGGAGCAGUGUGUCCCGCAAUCCCCAGGAGCAGGGGAUCCCGCAAUUCCUGGAUUGGGGGAUCCCACAAUUCCUGGAAGCAGGGGUUCCCGCUCUCCCUUGGACCAAGAGUCUCACAAUUUCCAGGAGCAAGGGUCCUGCAAUCUCCAGGAGCAGGGGAUCCCGCAAUUCCUGGGAGCAGGGGUUCCCGCUCUCCCUUGGACUAGGAGUCUCACAAUUCCCAGGAGCAAGGGAUCCUGCAAUUCCUGGAUGUGGAGGAUCCUGCAAUUCCUGGGACUAGGGAUUCCCAGUCUUCCUUGGACCAGGAGUCUCACAAUUCCCGGGAGCUGUGUGUCCCGCAAUCCCCAGGAGCAAGGGAUCCUGCAAUUCCUGGGAGCAGGGAUUCCCACUCUCCCUUGGACCAAGAGUCUCACAAUUUCCAGGAGCAAGGGUCCUGCAAUCUCCAGGAGCAGAGGAUCCUGCAAUUCCUGGAUGUGGAGGAUCCUGCAAGUCCUGGGAUUAGGGAUUCCCGCUCUCCCUUGGACCAGGAGUCUCACAAUUCCCAGCAGCGGGAGUCCUGUUCUCCCUUAGACGAGGAGUCUCACAAUUCCCAGGAGCAGUGUGUCCCGCAAUCCCCCGGUGCCAGGGUCUCGCAAUUCCUGGAUGUGGGGGAUCCUGCAAUUCCUGCGACUAGGGAGUCCUGCUCUCCCUUGGACCAAGAGUCCCACAAUUGCCAGGAGCAAGGGUCCCACGUGCCCCGGGAGUAGGGGUUUCACACAAUUCCCAGGAGCAAGGAUCCCACAAUCUCCAGGAGCAGGGGAUCCCGCAAUUCCUGGAUGUGGGGGAUCCUGCAAUUCCUGGGAGCAGGAGUUCCUGUUCUCCCUUGGACCAAGAGUCUCACAAUUCCCAGGAGCAAGGGUCCCACGUGCCCCAGGAGUAGGGGGUUCACACAAUUCCCAGGAGUGGGGGAUCCCACAAUCCCCGGGAGCAGUGGGUCCCGGAAUCCCUGGGAGGAGGGUAUCCUGCAAUUGUCGGGUGCAGAGAUCCCACAGUUCCCAGGAGCAGGGGGUCCCGCAUGCCCCGUGCGAGACAGUUGGGAGACGCUUAUAGCCCCAUCCCCUCCGGAUGGGUUCAAGCAUCUUCACCGAAAGGAUUCUUGGGCACUGGAAGAGGCCACACAAGUGUGGGAGGGUCUCCAUCUCUGGAGGUAUUUAAAGAAUGAGGUACUCAUGGAUGGUUCGGUAGGGGAUAAGUAUGUUUGGACUCCAUGAUCUCAAAGGUCUUUGCCAACCCAGUGAUUUUAUAAGCAGGGCUUCCCCAGAAGUCCCAAGCUGAGAUCCUGCUCCACCUCUCCUCACACCGCCCAGCAAACCCAGCUUCACCUGCAGCCUUGGGAGCGAAUCCAUCCUUUGGGCACUUCAUGAGCCAAACGUUCUUCAGGACAUGGUUAACCGUUGCUAGGACUAUUUGCUGCAGGAGGUUUUCUCUGUCUCCACUGUGACCAUCCCCUCCUCGCCCAAUCCAGGCUGGUGGCGUCCACCUUGAACCCCACAGUGCCCCUCCAUUCACCUCUCAUGGCUCUGCCCUUAUCUCUUCUGGCAGUGAGUGGGGUCAAAUGCGUCCUGCAGACAGCAUGCGUGUGUCCUGGAGGAUCUUCUCAGGGAAGGUCACACCCAGCGAAUGGAGCUGUGCAAGGUUCAUAAGCCAAAAGCUGAAGAGCCCCUGGAGUGCAGGAUGGAUCCCUGCUCCUCAACCCACCAAGUGCCAAACACUUAAAAACCAAUCUUGGCUCACUGUGCUCUUUCUCUUUGCUGCACCUGCGGCUUAAACAUCUCAGGUUCCCUGACCUGACCCAUUGCAAGUAACUCAUGUCUUGCCAACUACAGCUGUAUUUGGAGGAGAUCAAAAGGUCCCUCAGCGUUGGCUGAAUGUAUGAGCCAAAUCAUGGAACCAUAGAAUGGUUUGGGUUGGAAAGGACCUUAAAGCCCAUCCAGUUCCAACCCCUCUGCCAUGGGCAGGGACACCUUCCACUGGAUCAAGUUGCUCAAAGCCUCAUCCAACCUGUCUUUGGACACCUCUAAACUCAGUGUGGCCAACUGCAGCCUCUGAUCCCCUCCAGGAGCUCCUGUCGCUGCAGGUGGCAUUGGUCAUCCAGUUGCCCCCACUCACAUUCAGUGCAGGAGCUUCUGGGGAAUCCUGUGUCCUGGCUCUGUAGCGUGUGGUGAAGAUUUUGUCUGUAGUGUCUCAUUAGGGUUUAUGGCACAACAACCCCGUGCAGCGCUCCAGGAUGAGUGGCUGGAAAGCUGGAGUGGAGGAGUGGCUGGGAAAGGACCUGGGGGUGUUGGUUGACAGUGGCUGAGUGUGAGCCAGAAGUGAUCCAGCUGGCCAAGAAGGCCAACAGCAUCCUGGCUUGGACCAGAAACAGCGUGGCCAGCAGGACCAGGGAAGCAUUCUGCUCCUGCGCUCGAUGUUUGUGAGGCUGCACGUCGAAUCCUGGGUUCAGUUUUGGGCCCUUCACUACAAGAAGGACAUUGAAAUACUGGAGCACAUCCAGAGGAGAAUGGAGCUGAGGAAGGGUCUGGAGAACAAGUCUUAUGAGAGGUGGCUGAGGGAACUGAGUUUGGUUAGCCUGGAGAAGAGGAGGCUGAGGGGAGACCUCAUCGUUCACUACAACUGCCUGAAAGGAGGUUGUAGCGAGGUGGGUGUCAGUCUCUUCUCCCAAGUGACAGGUGAUGGGACAAGAGGAAAUGUGCCAGGGGAGGUUUAGACUGGACGUUAUGAAAACUUCUUCCCUGAAAGGGUUUUCAAGCACUGGCCGAGGCUGCCCAGGGAAGUGGUGGAGUCCCCAUCCCUGGAGGCGUUUAAAAGAUGGGCAGAUGAGGUGCUUAGGAGUAUGAUUUAGUAGUGGACAGGUACAGUUGGGCUUGAUGAUCUCAAAGAUCUUUUCCAACCUAGCGAUUCGGUGAUUCUAUGGAGAGUGUUCAGAGCCAGGGACAGCCAGUGGUCUCGCUGCUCCUGCCUCCAGAUGUGAUCCUCCACAGGACAAGGAGCCCACCAUCCCCAGGAGUUACCUCCUGUCCCACUGCUCUCCCUUUCCCAGGCUCUGUAAUGGUCCCCUCGCUCCCCUGGAGCACCCAGCAUUUCCCGUCAGAAGUUAGAAAGCACUCACCAUUUCCAAACUUCUCCAACUCCCGUUUCAGUCCUUCCAGAUCCCAGGGCUGCUGCUGUGUCCUGCAACCUAGACAGGUACAUCCCACUUCUCCAAAGUGACAGUCAGGAGCAAGCAGCAGCCAUAUCUCUUUGCCAGUGGCCAACCAGACCCUCAGGAUCUUCUUGCAGCCCUCAGGGCUGCACUGCCAGGCACAGUGUGAAUUUUGUCCGGAGAAAACUGUUACUGGAGACCUUCUUCAGCUUCUUUGGGCACCCCUUUAGUCUGUUGCUGCUGGAGUAGGGACCAUUUACCAUGCAAACUUAUUGUCUGACCACUGCAGGAACUUUGAAGCUCUUACGUACUCCUUGGAGUCUCAUUUCUCCCGUGAAGAUGCUCUUCAGAGUCAGUCAUGAAUUAUGAGCUCUGGUCCCACCUCAUGCUCCCAGGAAGGGCUUUCUUUGACUGUUGUGUUCUUCUACAUCCAUAGGAAGGCCUGCCAAAGCCUCACAGCUACCCUCACACACUUGCUGUUGCCAGCGCGGAGGGUGCCACCAGCUUCCAGCCUCCACCUUCUGUUCUGAAGCCCACAAACUUCUCUGGUCGCCAAGCCAGCAUCUCCAAAUGCCACAAAGCACCACCACAAGUGAUGUGAGAUCUCCUUCAAUAUCCUUCUCUGCACCUUCCUCUUGUUCUGCACCAGUAUCUGUGGCCUCCUAGCCGGUGGAGGAUGGCCAAGGACCAAGGAGCACUGUACCUCCUCACCUCCCCAGCCAGCCACCAUGUUUUUAGCUGUUGCUCUCCUUGCUGCCGUCUGGUGACAAGUGGCCACAGUACUGUGCCAGGUGGACUUGGCCACCAUUGGGCAUUGGGUCUGACCUCUGGAAGCAAGGUGUACUGGUUUGAUCAGUAAUAGCUGCCCACAUCCCACCCUUGGGCAGUGCUGUCCUAGGAUGCUCCAACCCUGUUGCAGAGAGCAUUAGGUAAAGCCUUGGCUGGGAAAAGCAGCAGCACCGGCGUUACAAAACGGGACAGAUGCCACUCCAACUGCACCUACGUGUUGGUUGACAUCAAAAGAUGAUUCCCAGGCAGUCAGAGCCAAGAGAGAUGACAUCUGGGGGACAUUAACAAUGGGUUUGAUGGUGACACAGUUAAUGCAGCAGUUCCAGGUUCAGGAAGAACAGGUUUCAUUUGCACACGAAGCCCUUGCCUCAUCACACCUGGAGGAGGUGGCUUCCUCUCACUCUCUGCAAGGUUGAAGAGGUGCAGCAGCCACAAAAGGAGACACAAAGGGAAGCAGCCUGAACGAAACAGCGUCACACACAGACUCAAGCCUUGAUGCAGCGGUCUCAGAGCCAGGAGUGAGAGAGCAUCACCCAAGGAGGAUCCAGGAGGAGCUUUUUGUUCUUAAAGUCCAUGGAAGCUCCAUCCCCUGGAGCCACCUGGUAAAGCUCAAUCCCCCAGUUGAGGGCAGUCACUUUUGGAUGGAAGGGAUGAGUCCCUUGAUGGCACCUGGAGCACUAAAUCUGCCUGCAAAGAGCAGGCAGCAGCCGGACGGGGGCUGCGCAGAGAUGCCCUGUGGGAAACUGGCACCCUUGCUCCCAUCUCUGCAUGCGAAAGGAAAGCUUUUCAGCUCCUGGCUGAAUCCCUCAGGCUCCAAGGAGCCUCGUGCUUCCAGGGGCAGGUUGGGAGGAGGAAAUAACGAGCAUAUUUUUACAGAAACCGGAGUCUCCCUGCAGCAGCAAAUCCCGUAAACGCAAAACCCAAGUGAAAAGCAGCUUCAGCUGUUCUGGCUCUGGCUGUGACGGGCUUGGCCCCGGGCCAAUGACUUAAUUCUGCCUAUUAACUAAUAGUAUAGCAUUGUCGGCACAGAUUCAUUGCUAAACUUAUGUUUUUAAGAUAUCACUUAUCAUUUAAACACUUAAUUCUUGAUCCCUGAACAUGUACAGGCACCAUGUAGCCCUGCAGCCAUGCUGCAGAUAACCAAAGCCACCACGGGCUGAAGAGGCCAGGCAGUGUUUAACCCUUUUCCCCCUCUUUGUCUGCAUGAUAAAGUGUCUUGGGUAGCACUUUCCAAAGGAGACCAGGCCCUGCUGUUCAGGGACCGCUUAUUGUCAUCUGCUUACUGGUCCUGAGCUCAUUAGAGAUCAUAGAAUCAUAGAAUAGUUUGGGUUGGAAGGGACCUUAAAGAUCAUCUAAUUCCAACUCCCUGCCAUGGGUAGGAACAUCCCACUGGAUCAGGCUGCCCAAGGCCCAUCCAACCUGGCCUUGAACACCUCCAGCCAUGGGACAUCCACAACCUCCCUGGACCUGUUCCAGUGUCUCACCACUCUCAUAGUGAAGAAAUUCUUCCUAAUGUCCAGUCUAAAUCUAUCCUUCUCCAGUUUAUACCCAUUCCCCCUGGUCCUAUCCCCACAAGCCUUUAUGAAUAGUCCCUCUCCAGCUUUCCUGUAGCUCCUUCAGGUACUGGAAGGUCACUAUAAGAUCUCCUCUGAGCCUUCUCUUCUCCAGGGUGAACAACCCCAAUUCUCUCAGCCUGUCCUCGUAGGGAAGGUGCUCCAGCCCUCGGAUCAUCUACAAGAGAGGAAUAAAGAGGCAGAAUCACUUUCUUCGCUCUGCUGGCCACGCUGCUUUGGAUGCAGCCCAGGACACUGUUGGCCUUCUGGGCUGCAAGCACACAUUGCCGGCUCAUGUCGAGCUUCUCAUCGGCCAGCAUCCCAAGUCCUUCUCUGCAGGGCAGCUCUCAAUCACAUCAUCCCCCAUCGUGUACUGAAAUCGAGGAUUGCCCCAACCCAGGUGCAGGACCUUACACUUGGCCUUGUUGAACCUCAUGAGGUUCUCACAGCCCCACUUCUCCAGCCUGUUCAGAUCCCUCUGGAUGACAUCCCGUCCUUUCAGUGUGGCAACUACACCAACAGCUUGGUGUCAUCCGCAAACUUGCUGAGGGUGCACUCGAUAUUGCUGUCUAUAUCAUUGAUAAAGAUAUUGAACAGCACCGGACCCAGUACAGACCCCUGAGGGAUGCCACAUUUUACAGAUCUCCAUCUGGACUUCAAGCCAUUGACCACUACUCUCUGAAUAUGACCAUCCAACGAGUUUUUUAUCCACCUUACCAUCUACCCAUCAAAUCUAUAUCUCUCCAAUUUAGAGAGAAGGAUGUUGUGGGGGUCCAUGAGGGGCUUUACAGCAGUCCAGAUAGAUCACAUCCGUUGGUUUACCCGUGUCCACUGCUGUGGUUACCCCACCAUAGAAAGCCACCAAGUUGGUCAUGCAGGUCUUGCCCCUGGUGAAGCCGUGCUGGCUGCCAUUCAUCACCUCCUUGUCCUCCAUGUGCUUUAGCACAGCUUCUAGGAGGAUCUGUUCCAUGAUCUUCCCAGGCACAGAGGUGAGGCUGACAGGUCGCUAAAAAAAAUAUAUAUAUAUAAAUUGCAGGGGUCAACACACCUGGAGUGCAAGGGAUGAGCCUCACCCUGGGAAAACCACCUGGCUGGUUAUGGUGUCUCCCCUGCCAGGUAAGGAUGGAGGAACUGUUCCCAGUUCUGGGGUUUCCUGACCUCUGUGAAGGGUGUGUGAUCUGCAGGACACCCAUGGAUAUGUGCGAUUGCAGUCUGUCACCGAGAAUGACCUCCCUCUGUCCUUCUUUGCCUUUCACCGUCACCUCAAAUGCUCUGCAGUCUGGUGGAGAAACAGGUCUGGUCCUUCCAGAGGAAGAUUGGGAGCAGCGGGUGCUGCACAGCACAAGAUCCUCAGUCCCUGAUCUGAACGAAGUAAACAGACGUUACUCCGCAACCUCAGCCCUCUCCCCGAUCCCACCCUCUCAUCCAGAGCAGACCAACAUCUUUACCGGUUGUACUGGUCUCCAGCCAUCAACCACAGAAUCACCCACCACCUCCCCACCCACUGGGGAUGCUGUGGUGAGGUUUCUCCACGCAGAGUUAAACCAAGGAUCCUGCCCAGGGGAAGCUAAUGGAGGAUUCUGCAGCUCCCGCUCUCCUUCAGCUCCUUCCUCCGGCAUUUCUGAGCUCACCUACUGCAAAGCGAGAUAUUCCUGCAGUGAGAGAUUCAUGCACAUUACCAACCCUGACGCAAGCAGGGAUGAGACAGAGCAGAAAGGAGGAAGGUUGGUAAAAGAAAAGGCUGUGACCCAUGCUGGUUUGUGGCAGCGCAUCUGCAAUCCGGAAUCUUCUGGAAAAUAGUUUUAAAGUUGUUCCAAGGAAGCUAGAGAAGCUGCAGAGUCAAACUCAGGUGAGACAAGACCUUUCCUCUGAACAGCAGGGAUGUGAGAGCUGGGAGAGAAGUUCCAGCAGAAGGACCCUCAUGGCCGUCGCAGCACCGGAGAGCACUUGGCAUUGGUUGAGAGAAGUAACUGCUGGAUGAAGCCCUCGGAAUAACAUAAAACUGGCUGAGAGCCAGCGUUCCUUAAAAAUAAGAACACACUUCGCUAGAAAAGCUGUGCCUGGAGCUGAGCUCCUGCAUCCUUAGGUGCCUCACUGACAGGAGUCGGCAUCCUUCGGGAGUCGAGCCGUGUUAUCUGGCAAAGGGGGAUUACGCUGUGAAAACUGCUUGUUGGGGAUUGUGUAGGAACAGGAUACGCUCGGCUGGUUGACA